rnacentral:rRNA from 1 species
AGUGAACGCUGGCGGUAGGCCUAACACAUGCAAGUCGAACGGCAGCACAGUAAGAGCUUGCUCUUACGGGUGGCGAGUGGCGGACGGGUGAGGAAUACAUCGGAAUCUACUUUUUCGUGGGGGAUAACGUAGGUAAACUUACGCUAAUACCGCAUACGACCUACGGGUGAAAGCAGGGGAUCUUCGGACCUUGCGCGAUUGAAUGAGCCGAUGUCGGAUUAGCUAGUUGGCGGGGUAAAGGCCCACCAAGGCGACGAUCCGUAGCUGGUCUGAGAGGAUGAUCCGCCACACUAGCACUGAGACACGGCCGAGACUUCUACAGGAGGCAGCAGUGCGGAAUAUUGGACGAUGCGGGCAAGACUGAUCCAGCAAUACCGCGUGAGUGAAGAAGGACUUCGGGUUGGAAAGCCCUUUUGUUGGGAAGUAAGAGCAGCAGGUUCAUAACCCGCUGUUAUGACGGUACCCAAAGAAUAAGCACCGGCUAACUUCGUG